rnacentral:rRNA from 1 species
AUUGAACGCUGGCGGAAUGCUUUACACAUGCAAGUCGAACGGCAGCACGGGGGCAACCCUGGUGGCGAGUGGCGAACGGGUGAGUAAUACAUCGGAACGUGCCCAGUCGUGGGGGAUAACUACGCGAAAGCGUAGCUAAUACCGCAUACGAUCUACGGAUGAAAAGCGGGGGACCGCAAGACCUCGCGCGAUUGGAGCGGCCGAUGGCAGAUUAGGUAGUUGGUGGGGUAAAGGCUCACCAAGCCGACGAUCUGUAGCUGGUCUGAGAGGACGACCAGCCACACUGGGACUGAGACACGGCCCAGACUCCUACGGGAGGCAGCAGUGGGGAAUUUUGGACAAUGGGCGCAAGCCUGAUGCAGCGACGCCGCGUGAGUGAUGAAGGCC